CUGCUAUGCUUUUUAUCAAUCAAAGAUAAAGAAAGGCUGUCUACGUGGUUUAUCUCCUCACAUUAGCCUCCAUGCUAAUGGUGGCCCAGCAUCGGUCCUUGUUUCCUCUGGCCUGGUCCUCCCUCCGCUGGGAAGCCCAGACAGCCAGACCUUCCUGUGGGAGGGGGAGCUCCAAGAGGUCCAGGGGAGGAUCGAAACAUUCACAGCACAGCUGAGAGAUGCUUUGGCCAGGAGGGCCGAGAUAAAAACCUGCUUGGAGAACCAGAGGAUGAGCCAAACUACAGCUAUUGCAGCAAAACUGAAGAGAGAGAAUGUCGGCCAUUUGCAAAGCCUGAUGAUAGAGAGAACCAACCCAGAGAAAGAUAAAACCAAUGAGGAGAGAGAACGGAGUGCCCAGUCAAACCUCAGUAGCUGUCUUGACAAAGACAAAUAUGGUACAAACAGUGAGAAUUCCAAUGGGAGACAAACAGGCAGACAGGACACAGACAGGGACAGACUAUUAGACCAAUCACAAAUUGAGAGAGACAAAAACGACCAAUCCAAAAGUAUUGACAGAAAGCAGAGCAGCCAAUCACAGGUGUCCCACAUUCUGCAGACAGGGAGGAGCAGCCAAUCAGCAGCUCUGAACAUAAGAGAGAUCAAACCACAAACAUCGGCCAGUUUAGACAGGGAGGCAACUAACCAAUCAGAAGCUGUCAAUAUAGCGCAGACAGAUAGUACUGUCCAAUCACGUAAUCUCUUCACCAGCAUGGAGAGAGGAAGAGUGAGUCAAUCAGGUGCAGUGAGAGACCAGGAGAGAGGGAGAACUGUCCAAGUACGAACAGGGGCUAGUCUGGACAGACCAACAACUAGCCAAUCGGCUACUAUGACUAAUCUGGAGAGAGGCCGAUCUGGCCAAUCCAGUGCCAGCACUCAGACUUCCGUUAGGGAACCUCCUGUUCCCAAUGACACCGAGAAGAGUUUGUGUUAGUCUUUUGAUGGAUUCUUUAAUAGAAAACUAUGGACAAAUCCAAUGACUUCAACAAGUGCACAUGAUUUUUAAGUUAGCAAACUUGAAACUAUUAGACAAAAAAGGUUUGUUUAACAGUGACAGACAGCAAUACAGCCCUGAUCCAUUUGCUUCUGAUGUCAAUGGUUGCUGUCUGUUUAAAAUGAAUGAUCAGAACUUUAACCACCAAUGUUUGUCUCCACAUAAAAGGUGUUGUCUUGUUAUUUUUCAGUUUCCCCUGGAGUCUAAACACUGGGAACUACAUUUAAUCCAACAGAAGCAAACGUAUUGAAAGAGGCAGUGACCCACAUGAGAUUGCUCAAUAAAAUCACUGCAAAUUGUUUUCCGUUUUGCUAUGGUUGACAACUAAUGAAUACACCACAGAUGUGUCGUCGGUUUUGAGCGUGUCACUUGAUGCACACAGGGGGGCUUGAACAUGUUCAAUUACGCCCCCCCCCCUCCCCCGAACUGGGUAAGGAUGGGGCUAUCCAAGGUUUUAUGUCUCCACUGUCAUUGUCACAACUAAUCCUUUUUAAGGACCUUGAGUUGCUCAGAUACUAUGCAGUUUAAUUGAAUUUACUUUCAAAAGGAUUUAAUAUCACAGUGUUUUUAAAUGUAGCUAUAACAUAUCUAUAGUUAGAGCUUGAAGUGGAUUGGAAUGGUUGGUUUUCUAUAACAGGAGCAGUCCGUCAGGUUAACUGAACAGCGGGAAGGUGAGGUGAUGUUUUUGGACUGAGGGAAAUGUUUGCAAACGUGUUGUUCUGGUGAUGGUGGGACGUGUGUUCAAUGUGCCAGGAUGCUGCCUAUAACAACAGUGAUCCGUAUCAUUCACACAUAACCUUGUUGUGUCGUUUGUUUAUCAUUUACAUAUUUUGAAAUAAAC
ensembl:lncRNA